UUACAGUUCAUGUGGAAGCUUUCUCCACCCGCAUCCUUCUCUCUAUCUCCUAUUUCUCACUCCCAUGCCUUCUUCCCUCAUCAGAUUGCCACAAUAACCAGACCGGCAGCCAUGGCGUUUCCAUCGGCGGCGGGAUCAAGCCACCGCAAUCGGGUUGCUGCGGAUCACUGUGGUGUGGCGGUUCCGCCCGCACGUGCGCUUGUGGUUAAGGAGAUAGCGAUAGCACCCCUAGGGCGUGGCCACCGCCACUGCAGGACCGACUUCUUCCUCUUUGACCUGUCCUCGGCCAUGAGGCCUAGGUCUCAUCCUCUGGCGGCUGACGGCGACCACUAGCUCUUCAUCGGCCGCAAUCAGUGCGCCUUUGCAUCGAGGAUUGGGCGUUCACUGCUGGAGGCCGAACUUCGUGCCGCCGAAUAGACGCCCAUGGCACCAGAUCGGGACGGGGAUGUUGGAGAGGUGCCCGAAUCCGGUGAGUACAGGGAGCUGCGCUGCACAAAUCGAGCGGGCAGCGCCGAUUUGAAGACUAAGUGCACAAGUAAAAGGAGUCCAAGGGAAAUAGAAAACUACACUGGAGGGGUGAGUCUCACAAUGCUGCUGAUUUCGUUGAUAUGGGAGGGAGGAUUCGUGCUGAUUUUUUGGGGUUCCUAUGAGAUCAAAAGGAAAGUAUGAGUAUUUGCGAUUUGAUUUGCUUGUAGCAUCGGCUUGUUUGAGACUUACCUCGAUCUCCUCUGUAACAACAGCACUUGAGUACUGGAGCUCCUCCAAGCACCAAGCAGCGCUUAGUCUGCUCGUUUCCCACCACUGGAGAUCCAUCCAUAAUAGGAUUUCUUGUAUUCUUACGACCAGUUCCUGCAACCGGUGUUGUGCUAGAGCUGCUCACCUUCCUCCUCGAGGAGCUGCGCAAGACCAUGUGGUUCCGUUGUGGUGAAGAGAAAGGCAUCGGCAAGUUGAUUCAUGGGGAGGCGCCGUGCGCGAUCACGCCCCUUGCUUAUGGUUGUGGGUUAGUUGGUAGCUGACGAUGGUGUUGCUAGCAGUGGAGGCUGCGGCAACCUUGGAGCUUUCAUGCACGAAUGUGCGAUUCCAUUUUCGAUCCGAGAAGGAUUUUGGAGAGGCAGAUUCAGAUGGUCACCAGGAAGGGAACAAGAAUAGAGUGUACACUAAGGCUGGUCAAAUUUCAUGGUCACUUGAUAGCGGAGAUAUGUGAGGCUAGUUUUGGAGAUCUGCUGAACAAAGGGGUGCCUCUAUUUUUUUGUUGAAAUAUAGAUGUGUCAAGCAAAUUUAGAUGCCUCUAUUUUUUUGUUGAAAUAUAUAUGCAUUUCUGUUGUUUUUUUAAAAGAAAUACUAGUGGAUGUGAUUUGAAGCAUGUCUGUAAAACUAUAUUGUGUAGACAAAUACUCCCUUUUUUAACAACAAAUUCUUGUAGAGCACUACUUGUUACUGAAAAGCAAUUCAGAGUAAUCAGGUAAAGCAAGAAUUUUGUAAACAAGAGCAGUUUAACGCUUUCUUUUUUAAUAAAUGUGUACUGCUAUGAAGCAAUACUUGUUCAGUGAUAGUAGGAACUUAACAAUUUUAUGAUCUUUUUUCAUAAAGUUGUAUCUGUCAUAAUGUUACAAUUCAGACAGAUUGAUCUUAUUAGACAUCACAAACUGCUGACUAGUAUUAAAAAACUGAAGUUAUGAUUCACAUAGAUUUAUCUCCAUUUUUCCUGCCAAUGCGGGCAAGUGGUUUUUUCACAAACUCAACUUCAUGAUUCACAUUGAUUCAUCUCGAUUAUUAUGAUUUACAGGGUUUUUGACAAGGUGAAUGGAAAUAUCUCUGCUACACAAAAGGUGUUUUGUAAGGUAUCUAAGGUGCAAAGAGAAGCAUUUAAAUCACGGAGCAUUAGAGUAACUACGCUUUUGAGCAAAACACAACCUUGAUUUUUCUAGUCUGCUUCUAUCAAAAAGCAAGUUCUCAUACUUGUUUGGCUAGUCUGGUAUGUUUUAUAUACAUAUGGGCACAUUGUGAUUGCCAAACCUUAUUUUUUCUUUCAGCAAAUGGUCAGAUCUGCUGCAUAUUUAGUCACAUUUGCGUUUGUGUUC